GUGAACCUGCGGAAGGAUCAUUGUCGAUACCUUGACCAAACAGAACGACCCGCGAACCUAUUAUCACCACUCUCGGUGGGCUGGUUUCUUAACCGAUCCCUUUCCGCCGGAUCCGUGGUUUCGUGUAUUUGUCCCGGCGGUGAGUUUUCUCUCGGUGGGGCAGUGCACGUUGCUUCCGGAUAAACACAAAACCACGGCACGAAAAGUGUCAAGGAACAUGAAAAACAUAACGGCCUUCACUCGCCUCGCCCGGAAACGGUGCGUGAGCGUAUGUUGAGCCGCGAUCUAAAGUCUAAAACGACUCUCGGCAACGGAUAUCUCGGCUCUCGCAUCGAUGAAGAACGUAGCGAAAUGCGAUACUUGGUGUGAAUUGCAGAAUCCCGUGAACCAUCGAGUCUUUGAACGCAAGUUGCGCCCGAAGCCUUUAGGCCGAGGGCACGUCUGCCUGGGUGUCACAAAUCGUCGUCCCCCCUCAUCUUUCGAUGAUUCGGGACGGAAGCUGGUCUCCCGUGUGCUCACGCAAACGGUUGGCCAAAAUCUUAGCCAAGGACGCGGGAGCGUUCCGACAUACGGUGGUGAACAUUGAUCCACUCGCAUACCAUCGGUCGCUCCUCUCCCGAAGCUCUUGAUGACCCAAAGUCUUCUAAGCGAC
rnacentral:rRNA from 1 species